GACGAACGCUGGCGGCGUGCUUAACACAUGCAAGUCGAACGAAGUGGCGAACGGGUGAGGAAUACGUGGGUACCCUGCCCUCCUUUUUGGGAUAAGCCUUGGAAACGGGGUCUAAUACCGAAUACAGGGGGAUGGGCUCGCGGCCUAUUAGCUUGUUGGUGGGGUGAUGGCCUACCAAGGCGGUGACGGGUAGCCGGCCUGAGAGGGUGACCGGCCACAGUGGGACUGCGAUACGGCCCAGAGUCGUACGGGAGGGGGCAGUGGGGGAUAUUGAACAAUGGGCGAAAGACUGAUGCAGCGAGGCCGCGUAGGGGAUGAAGGCUUUCAGGUUGUAAACCUCUUUCGCUAGCGAACCGGUAGGUGGAGAAGAAGCGACGGCUAACUACGUGCCAGCAGCCGCGGUAAUUC
rnacentral:rRNA from 1 species